CCUUGAGUACAAUGAAGUAGGCGGAAUGAGUCAUGUACGGUGAAUGCAUAGAUAUGACUCAAACACCGAUUGCGAAGGCAGCUUACUAACAUGUAACUGACGCUGAGGGACGAAAGCGGGGGGAGCGAACAGGAUUAGAUACCCUG
rnacentral:rRNA from 1 species